rnacentral:rRNA from 1 species
UACGUAGGCAGCGCGCGUUGUUCGGAGUUACUGGGCGUAAAGCGUGCGUAGGCGGUGUUCCAAGUCUGUUGUGAAAUCUCCCGGCUUAACUGGGAGGGUGCGGCGGAAACUGGAACGCUGGAGUAUGGGAGAGGUAAGCGGAAUUCCUGGUGUAGCGGUGAAAUGCGUAGAUAUCAGGAGGAACACCUGCGGUGUAGACGGCUUACUGGACCAUAACUGACGCUGAGGCACGAAAGCGUGGGUAGCAAACAGG